UUCAUGAACCUUAUCACUUAGAGGAAGGAGAAGUCGUAACAAGGUUUCCGUAGGUGAACCUGCGGAAGGAUCAUUCGCACUAUCCAAUUCAAAUCGUGAACCUUGCUGAAUGCGACUGCUUGCGUGUCUUUGUCUGCGCAAGUGGAAGCUAUGGGCGAGUGGGCGUAUUCGGGGCUGCGCUGUAAGCGUAGUUUCUGGGUAUUGCUCAUCGUCAUUGGUCCCUUUGGACCUUCCACUACUCAUGGCAGUAUUCGUUAUAGCCAGACUGAGAAUUGAGAAGUAGAAAAGCACAAUUUUCAGCGACGGAUAUCUUGGCUCGAGCACCUAUGAAGGGCGCAGCGAAGUGCGAUAAUCGUUGUGAAUUGCAGAACUCCGUGAACCAAUGGCCUCUUGAACGUGCAUUGCGCUCUUGGGAUAUGCCUGAGAGCAUGUCUGCUUCAGUGCUUCUAACUCUCUAUGUGUCCUGCUGCUCUCUCCCUUUGAGAGCAGUGCUGCUGCAUGCUACUGCGCUGCUGCACUGGCAUGCUCAAUAUCAUGUUUUGCCCACUGGUUUGACUGAUCAUCAUCUUGUCUUGCAGAUGGGGUAAAAUAGGGAACAGCGUUUGCAACACUUCCUAGGCAUGAAGUC
rnacentral:rRNA from 1 species